CCCAGGUGUAGGCAACUGCCUAGGUUGCCUUGUACCUAGGCAAGUGUGACAUGGCUGGGGGAAAAGCAGCCCGUAGCUGGCGGACAUU
rnacentral:snoRNA from 1 species